UCUUGUGUUUUGUAUUUCUCUGCACCCUACUCCCCACGAUUCACACUCCCUUAGGCUCACACGAACCCUCUCUUCAGUCUGGACUGGUACGUGCUGGAGGGGCAGAUCGUCAAGCACACCAUGCGGGAUCUGAUCCAGUCCGUCCGGGUCGUCGGGCACAAGGAUUUAAUGUGGAGACGGUGGAAUAUAAAAACAUCAGCUUCACUGUUUGGGAUGUUAGGGGUCAGGACAAGUUUGGCAAGGAGGUACUCGGUCAUGCUUCUAAGGUGGUGCUUACCAAGGAUACUACUAUGAGUGUUGGUGGUGGAAGUACACAGGAAGCAGUAAACAAUAGAGUUGCACAGAUUAAUUAGAAAUCUAAUUGAGGCUGCAGAGCAAGACUAUGAGAAGGAAAAAUUAAAUGAAAGGAUUGCGAUAUUGUCAGGUGGUGUUACUGUGAUACAGGUAAAUUACCAAUUGCUGGUUGUAAAAGUGAUUUGUAUUUGUAAAUAAUAAUCUUGUGCUGAAGAAAUGUAUCAUAUUGUAUAUUCUAGUCCAUACCCAAGGAAAUAUAUAUU